rnacentral:rRNA from 1 species
AGGACGAACGCUGGCGGCGUGCUUAACACAUGCAAGUCACGGGGGCCCGCAAGGGUAACCGGCGAACGGGUGCGUAACACGUGAGCAACCUGCCGAGAUGAGGGGGAUAGCCGGCCCAACGGCCGGGUAAUACCGCAUACGCUCACGAGGGGGGAUUCCCCUUGUGAGGAAACCUCCGGGGCAUUUCGAGGGGCUCGCGGCCUAUCAGCUAGUUGGCGAGGUAACGGCUCACCAAGGCAUUGACGGGUAGCUGGUCUGAGAGGAUGGCCAGCCACAUUGGGGCUGAGAUACGGCCCAGACUCCUACGGGAGGCAGCAGUGGGGAAUCUUGCGCAAUGGUCGAAAGACUGACGCAGCGACGCCGCGUGGGGGAUGAAGGCUUUCGGUUGUAAACCCCUGUUGCUCGGGACGAACCGCCUUUUUCGAGAGGCUUGACGGUACCGAGUGAGGAAGCACGGCUAACUCCGUGCCAGCAGCCGC